UAGAGGAAGUAAAAGUCGUAACAAGGUUUCCGUAGGUGAACCUGCGGAAGGAUCAUUACUGAAGUGAGUCUUCAUUCAUUGAAGCUUCUUCCCAUUGUGCUGGCUUUGACCGUAUGUAAAGUUGGGGAUUAAACAUGGUUCAAAAUUUAUUUUGUGGCCGUCCCCAACAAUUUAUCUCAUCCUUUAUAAAUUUGAACUGAACUCAUUUUGAGAUUACUUAAAAAAAUAAUCUUAUUAUACAACUUUCAACAACGGAUCUCUUGGUUCUCGCAUCGAUGAAGAACGCAGCGAAAUGCGAUACGUAAUGUGAAUUGCAGAAUUCAGUGAAUCAUCGAAUCUUUGAACGCACAUUGCACUCUAUGGUAUUCCGUAGAGUAUGCCUGUUUCAGUAUCAUGAACACCUCACUACUAUAACUUUAUUGUUAUGAUAGUGGAUUUGGAAUGCGCUGGUGUUAGUCAGCCCUUCUAAAAUGGAGUUCUUGCACUGUUGAUUUGUUUUAACAGCAAUGUUGGCCUAAUAAGUUUCAGCAGCAAUGUUGAAAUCACUGGCUUUUUUUGCUUAGAAUCGGACAGUCUUGAUAUACAGAAUUUUUGAGGUGACUUU
rnacentral:rRNA from 1 species